rnacentral:rRNA from 1 species
AUGUUUGCUUGUGUGGUAGUUUGCUUGUUUGUCGCGAUGGCUCAAGAUGCUACCAAAUUGUGUGACUUCACUAAUACCAAUAAUAAUGACUUCCUUAGCACUCCGAUUGCUCCUCUUGUCAAUACUGAAUCUUGUGAAAUCAAUACUGCUUUGUUGAAUCUUGUUAUGAAAGAUCAAUUCGCCGGCCUUCCUAGUGAAGAUGCCGCUACUCAUCUGAAUAGCUUUGUUGAUUUUUGUGAUAUGCAAAAUAAAAAAGAUGUCGAUAAUGAUGUCGUUAAGUUGAAGUUAUUUCCUUUUUCGCUUAGAGAUCGUGCUAAAGCGUGGUUUUCAUCUUUGCCUAAAAAUAGUAUUGAUUCUUGGAACAAGUGCAAAGAUGCUUUUAUCUCUAAGUAUUUUCCUCCCGCUAAGAUCAUCUCUCUUAGGAACGAUAUUAUGAAUUUUAAGCAACUUGAUCAUGAACAUGUUGCACAAGCUUGGGAGAGAAUGAAAUUAAUGAUACGUAAUUGUCCUACUCAUGGUUUGAACUUGUGGAUGAUUAUAUAA